rnacentral:rRNA from 1 species
CAGUCGCCACGGGAAUACGGAGGGUGCAAGCGUUACUCGGAAUCACUGGGCGUAAAGGACGCGUAGGCGGAUUAUCAAGUCUCUUGUGAAAUCUAACGGCUUAACCGUUAAACUGCUUGGGAAACUGAUAAUCUAGAGUAAGGGAGAGGCAGAUGGGAUUCUUGGUGUAGGGGUAAAAUCCGUAGAUAUCAAGAAGAAUACCUAUUGCGAAGGCGAUCUGCUGGAACUUAACUGACGCUAAUGCGUGAAAGCGUGGGGAGCGAACAGGAUUAGAUACCCCGGUAGUCCCUGUCUCUUAUAC